AUUGAACGCUGGCGGCAUGCCUUACACAUGCAAGUCGAACGGCAGCACGGGAGCAAUCCUGGUGGCGAGUGGCGGACGGGUGAGUAAUAUAUCGGAACGUGCCCAGUCGUGGGGAUAACGUAGCGAAAGCUACGCUAAUACCGCAUACGAUCUAUGGAUGAAAGCGGGGGAUCGCAAGACCUCGCGCGAUUGGAGCGGCCGAUAUCAGAUUAGGUAGUUGGUGAGGUAAAGGCUCACCAAGCCGACGAUCUGUAGCUGGUCUGAGAGGACGACCAGCCACACUGGGACUGAGACACGGCCCAGACUCCUACGGGAGGCAGCAGUGGGGAAUUUUGGACAAUGGGCGCAAGCCUGAUCCAGCAAUGCCGCGUGCAGGA
rnacentral:rRNA from 1 species